GAACGCACCUUGCGCCCUUUGGCUAUUCCGAAGGGCAUGCCUGUUUGAGUGUCAUGAAACCUCACCCCACUUGGGUUUUUGCCUGAGCGGUGGUGUAUUGGGUGUUGCCUUGCUAAAGGCUCGCCUUAAAGACAUAAGCACCUUGGAUGUAAUACGUUUCAUCCUUCUGGGUGGCUGAUAACCCCACAUAUUCAUGAUCUGGCCUCAAAUCAGGUAGGGCUACCCGCUGAACUUAAG
rnacentral:misc_RNA from 1 species